rnacentral:rRNA from 1 species
GACGAACGCUGGCGGCGUGCCUAAUACAUGCAAGUCGAACGGUGAGGCUCGAGCCUGGUGGCGCGGACGAGUGGCGAACGGGUGUGUAACACGCGAGGAUCCCCCCCCUGACUGAGGAGUAAGCCUUCGAAACGGCGGCUCUUACUGGAUACGAGAAGGUUCCGCAUGGGCAUCAUCUGGAAAGGUGUUCGGUGGGGGAUCGGCUCGCUGCCUCUCAGCUUGUUGGUGUGGUAGUGGCUCACCAAGGCGACGACGGGUAGCCGGCCUGAGAGCGCGACCGGCCACACUGGGACUGAGACACGGCCCAGACUCCUACGGGAGGCAGCGGUGGGAAAUAUUGCACAAUGGGCGAAAGCCUGAUGCAGCGACGCCGCGUGAGGGAUGACGGCCUUCGGGUUGUAAACCUCUUUCAGCAGGGAAGAAGCGAAAGUGACGGUACCUGCAGAAGAAGCAACGGCUAACUACGUG